GCCAAAUACUCCGUAUCAGCCCUCAAGUUUUUGAGAUGGUUCAGGAAAUAUGCUUCUUCAUUAUUUCAAGGUAGGCCAAUUAAUUUUAGGUUAGGUGAUGCUACUUCUACGACGUCAUGACCAUCCUUUACGAAUUCCAAAUUAACCCUAAAGUUGUACAGGGAACCAUUUGCAUUUAGAAAAUGAUUUUCCUGUACUACAAUGGCAAUCUAUGUAGUGCUUUUACCAAUUUGCAAGUUUUCACAGCUUGAAAUUUUUUGGAUUUUAUUGAGGAAGUGGAUGUUGCUACGAUUGCUGAGUUGAAACCAAGUAAUAUAGUGAAAAGUACAUUUCAUCCUAGUUCUAGUGCAAAACAUAUUACAGAAUGGUAAAUUUGCCCUCAACCUUCCACAUUUGUUGAUAGAAUUUAAUCUCAACCGCUUGAUUUGUUUAGUACAGUAUGGGCUUUGAUGAUUAUGCAUUUUACAUGAAAUUCCACUGUAAAUCUAGUCUUGUUAUGAAUUUUAUUUUUAUUUUUGUUGGAUUUCACAUUUUGCUAGUUUUGAAUUCUAACAUGUAAAAAUGGGGACUUAUGUAUUCUUCUAUAUAUCAUAUUCCACUAAUCACUUGAAUUUUGUGAGUAUAACAUACUAUGGUAAUUCAUAUAGUUUUUAAGGAACAAAUCUUGAAUUAAUAUGGUGUGAUGCAGAGAAAUGUAAAAUGUGAAGUUCACUUGAAAAAGAAUAAGUACAAAGAAAUAUUGGAAUGUGCAAAUUUUGAGACCAAUGUGCAUUACCUAUUUAAUAAGUGGGGAUGUGUUGAUUUGUUGGUGUAUAAUGUUUUUCUGUUUAUAUGAUCCGAUGCCAAAAUGAAAAUUCAAUAAUUCUAUCUAUUAGGAAGCGUAUAUAUAUUUUUCUUCAAUUUUCAUUCGAAAUGGUUGUGCAUAGUUUUUGUGUGUCAUUUACCAAAACAUUUAUUGCAUUAACUUUCUUAGAUUUCAGUCCCCCUUAUAAAAAAUCAUGGAUCCGCCCCUGC
rnacentral:lncRNA from 1 species